rnacentral:rRNA from 1 species
UAAGGAGGAUGCGAGCGUUAUCCGGAUUUAUUGGGUUUAAAGGGUGCGUAGGCGGAAUAUCAAGUCAGCGGUCAAAGCCCGGGGCUCAACCCCGGCCCGCCGUUGAAACUGGCAGUCUCGGGUUGGAGAGAAGUAUGCGGAAUGCGCGGUGUAGCGGUGAAAUGCAUAGAUAUCGCGCAGAACUCCGAUUGCGAAGGCAGCAUGCCGGCUCCACACUGACGCUGAGGCACGAAAGUGCGGGUAUCGAACAGG